rnacentral:rRNA from 1 species
UAGUCGAUGGGAAACAGGUUAAUAUUCCUGUACUUGGUGUUACUGCGAAGGGGGGACGGAGAAGGCUAUGUUAGCCGGGCGACGGUUGUCCCGGUUUAAGCAUGUAGGCUGGUUGUCCAGGCAAAUCCGGAUAAUCAAGGCUGAGGUGUGAUGACGAGGCACUACGGUGCUGAAGUAACAAAUGCCCUGCUUCCAGGAAAAGCCUCUAAGCAUCAGGUAACAU